rnacentral:rRNA from 1 species
UCAAGCUAAAAAGGGCGCAAGGUGAAUGCCUUGGCACUGGGAGCCGAUGAAAGACGUGGUAAGCUGCGAAAAGCUUCGGGGAGGAGCAAACAUCCAUUGAUCCGGAGAUAUCUGAAUGGGGCAACCCAAUGGAGUUCAUACUCCAUUAUCCAAUACUGAAUCCAUAGGUAUUGGAAGGGAACCGCCUGAACUGAAACAUCUAAGUAGGGCGAGGAAGAGACAUCAAACGAGAUUCCGUAAGUAGUGGCGAGCGAACGCGGAAGAGGGCAAACCGAGAGGAGAAAUCCUUUCGGGGUACGGACUGCUUUUAAGACUGGAAGAGUUAACAGAAUGGCAUGGGAAGGCCAACCGAAGAGUGUGAGAGUCACGUAAGUAAAAAUUCUGACAGCUGCGCAGGAUCCAGAGUACGGCCAGACACGUGAAACCUGGUCGGAACAUGGGGGGACCACCCUCCAACCCUAAAUACUACCCAGUGACCGAUAGCGUAUAGUACUGUGAAGGAAAGGUGAAAAGGACCCCGGGAGGGGAGUGAAAGAGAACCUGAAACCUUGUGCCUACAAGCACAUAGAGCCCGUCAAAGGGUGAUAUGGUACUUUUUGUAGAACGGUCCGGCGAGCGAUUGUACGUUGCGAGCUUAAGGUCUUAAGGACUGGAGGCGUAGCGAGAGCGAGUCUAAACAGGGCGUUUAGUAGCGUGCAAUGGGCCCGAAACCGGGUGACCUACCCAUGAUCAGGCUGAAGUGAAAGUAAAAUUUCAUGGAGGGCCGAACCGACCUCCGUUGAAAAGGCGGCGGAUGAAUUGUGGGUAGCGGAGAAAUUCCAAUCGAACUCGGAGAUAGCUGGUUCUCCCCGAAAUAGCUUUAGGGCUAGCCUCAUGUUAGAUAUCCGGAGGUAAAGCACUGAAUGGCCUAGCGUCCGAGAGGAUAGCGAAGCCUAUCAAACUAAGAAUGCCGGAAUAUUGAUGCAUGGGAGUCAGACAGUGUGAGAUAAAUCUCAUUGUCAAAAGGGAAACAGCCCAGAUCUACAGCUAAGGUCCCAAAUUGUAUCUAAGUGGAAAACGAUGUGGAAAUACGCAGACAACCAGGAUGUUGGCUCAGAAGCAGCCACUCAUUUAAAGAGUGCGUAAUAGCUCACUGGUCGAGCGUCUCUGCGCGGAAAAUUUAACGGGGCUAAGAUACAAACCGAAGCUUAGGCUGCACUUUUAGUGCGGGGUAGGGGAGCGUUGUGUAAGCGGAGAAACGAUAGCGUAAGCGGUCGUGGAGUUUACAGAAGUGAGAAUGCCGGAAUGAGUAGCGCGAAUGAUGUGAGAAUCAUCAUGGCCGGAAACCUCAGGUUUUUGGAGGAAGGUUCGUCCGCUCCAAGUUAGGCGGGAGCUAAGGUGAGGCCGAAAGGCGUAGCCGAUGCACAGACGGUAGAGAUUCCGUCCCCACCGAAAGAUUUAAGCGCAGGGACACUUUUAGAAGGUCGGAGCCAGGUGUUGGUUCUGGUAGAGAUCGAGGGAAGAUUAGUACCGAAGUCCGGCUGGAUAAGAGGCGAGAAAAGCUGCGUGUAUAUCUAAGGUGCCCGUACCGCAAACCGACACAGGUAGGUAGGAAGAAGAUUCUAAGGCCAACGGGAGAAGGGUUGUUAAGGAACUCGGCAAGUUGACCCCGUAACUUCGGAAUAAGGGGUGCUCAUGAAAGUGAGCCGCAGAGAAUAGGCCCAGGCAACUGUUUACCAAAAACACAGGUUUGUGCUAAAUCGAAAGAUGACGUAUACGAGCUGACGCCUGCCCGGUGCUGGAAGGUUAAGAGGAGAUGUGCAAGCAUUGAAUCGAAGCCCCAGUGAACGGCGGCCGUAACUAUAACGGUCCUAAGGUAGCGAAAUUCCUUGUCAGGUAAG